AGGAAGGGCUUUGGAGAACAGCCCCUCCCUUUCUUUUGCGUUCAGUUUUCAGAGCAAGUAAAGUUCUGCAGGAACAAGACCCAAUGUUCUCUCAGCUGGGAGAGACCAGACAAUCCCAACCUCGGAGCUGUGGUGGUGUAGCAGGAGGAGCCCGCGUUAUCAAUUAAAACCGGAUCAGAGACAGAAGAGGCCUGAGGCGAAAUCAGGAAAACAGCUUUCUUUAUUACAUACACCUCCUGGAGGCCACUGUGGAGGUGAACUUCUGCUGCUGAAUAAGAAGGUGAGAGGAGAACUAUGAGCGCUUCUUGGUCAGACCUGGGGGUCACAUGGCUGGCGGAGGGGGGCCUCUCUCUGGAGGAGUUUUGGAGCCCCCUGCAUUUGAUGGCGCAUGAUGCGGAGCUUGCAAGAGAAGAAGGACAUCCACUGUUUCUUGCUACAUGUUCAUUCAUGUUCCCAGCUGGACUGCUGUCUGCAUACAUCCCAGUGGGGUCACUGCCUUCGUCGUAAUCUCCCUGCUUGUACUCAGCAUAGGAAAUUCUGGAGGCUCCUUUGGAACUGCUAGCAAUCCCAGAAAGGACUCUCCUUCUUUGGCACUAAGAGGAGCAGCCAGAAGUGGAUGCUUUGGGGCUCUCUCCUCUUCUUUCAGACUUAUUCAGGGUGGUACACAGAGACUUCCCUGCCAAGGAUGGACAGUUCUUCCCUCCAAGAGCUUACCACCGAUCUUCCUGUAUCUUGCCUGACUAUGGUGCAGGGAAUCUGUUAUGUACUUUCCCAAAAAACAUUAAAAUUGACCCUCACUGCU